rnacentral:rRNA from 1 species
AGAGUUUGAUUCUGGCUCAGGAUGAACGCUAGCUACAGGCUUAACACAUGCAAGUCGAGGGGCAGCAUGACGAUAGCUUGCUAUUGUCGAUGGCGACCGGCGCACGGGUGAGUAACGCGUAUCCAACCUUCCCCUUAGUAGGGCAUAGCCCGGUGAAAAUCGGAUUAAUACCCUAUGUUAUUCGUCGAGGACAUCUGAAGUGAAUCAAAGAUUUAUCGCUAAGGGAUGGGGAUGCGUCUGAUUAGGUAGUCGGCGGGGUAACGGCCCACCGAGCCAUCGAUCAGUAGGGGUUCUGAGAGGAAGGUCCCCCACACUGGUACUGAGACACGGACCAGACUCCUACGGGAGGCAGCAGUGAGGAAUAUUGGUCAAUGGGCGCGAGCCUGAACCAGCCAAAGUAGCGUGCAGGAUGACGGCCCUAUGGGUUGUAAACUGCUUUUAUACGGGGAUAAAGUGAGGGACGUGUCCCUUUUUGUAGGUACCGUAUGAAUAAGGACCGGCUAAUUCCGUGCCAGCCGCCGC